UACGGAGGGUGCGAGCGUUGUCCGGAAUCACUGGGCGUAAAGGGCGCGUAGGCGGCCUGAUAAGUAGGGGGUGAAAUCCUGCGGCUUAACCGCAGGGCUGCCUUCUAAACUGUCAGGCUCGAGCACAGUAGAGGCAGGUGGAAUUCCCGGUGUAGCGGUGGAAUGCGUAGAGAUCGGGAAGAACAUCAGUGGCGAAGGCGGCCUGCUGGGCUGUUGCUGACGCUGAGGCGCGACAGCGUGGGGAGCAAACGAG
rnacentral:rRNA from 1 species